rnacentral:rRNA from 1 species
GAUGAACGCUGGCGGCGUGCCUAAUACAUGCAAGUAGAACGCUGAAGGAGGAGCUUGCUCUUCUGGAUGAGUUGCGAACGGGUGAGUAACGCGUAGGUAACCUGCCUGGUAGCGGGGGAGAACUAUUGGAAACGAUAGCUAAUACCGCAUGACAACAGUUAUUGCAUGAUAACUGUUUAAAAGGGGCAACUGCUCCACUACCAGAUGGACCUGCGUUGUAUUAGGUAGUUGGUGAGGUAACGGCUCACCAAGGCGACGAUACAUAGCCGACCUGAGAGGGGGAUCCGCCAAAACGGGACUGAGACACGGCCCAGACCUCUACGGGAGGCAGCAGGAGGGAAUCUUCGGGAAUAGACGGAAGUCUGACCGAGCAACGCCGGGUGAGUGAAGAAGGGUCUCGGAUCGUAAAGCUCUGUUGUAAGAGAAGAACGAGUGGGAGAGUGGAAAGUUCACACUGUGACGGUAUCUUAUCAGAAAGGGACGGCUAACUACGUG